UUAGACCGCUAGGCCAACAGCGCCCCAGAUUAAUGCAUCUUAAUGUCAGCAUGCACUGACACAGACAGCUGCUCACCAUGAAUUUAAUCCUUUGAAUCUCCAGUUCGUUCCACAGCUGGAAGCCCUCCCCGGCGGACUUCUUGUCCUUCUUCGCCUUGGUCUUCACUUUCUUUUCUUCGACCUCCUCUGGCUCUUCCUCCUUCACCUCCGGUUCAGGCUCUACCUUCUCUGUCUUCUCUCCAUUUUCCGUGCUGAAAGAAAAACGGAUGAAACACUUUUGCUUUUCCCUUUAAACACAAAGAACCUACUAUGAAUCUUAUCUUAUCUUACUCUGCUUUCUCAGUCUCUUGAGGAACCUCCUCUUCAAUUUCAACCUUUUCUUCCUCUUCCGCCUCCCCCGAUGACGCAUCCAACUGUUUCAACAAUUAUUUAGCAGUUAAUCACCUAGCAAAUGAAGAUGAAUGACAUUAAAUAAGAGUAUCAAAGAGAAGCACAUCACCAGUUUUCUCUUCAGCAGCGGCGUUCCCUCAGGAGUCGGAGGCUCUUCAGGCGUCGUCUCACCAAAGUCUCCAAGUCCCCCAGGAGUAUUAAAACCAGGCAGACGUCCACCUUCCCUGUCCUCGCCUUCCUCCUCUUCCUCCUCUCCUCCAACAGCAUCUAAUAAGUCCGCCCCACCAUCUGCAUCUUGGACUUCUCUAGCUCCCGGUUCAGGUGGCAGGUCCCCGUGCACCUCAUCCUGUGUUGGAUCCGGCAUACUGGCUAGGAUCUCUGUCACGGUCAUUUUCUUGGCGCCUUCCACUAAGCCUCCGCCGAACAGCACCUUCCAUAUGAGCGUGAAGAAGCCCUUACAUAUGCUAUAGACAAACAUGAGGAUCCCCAUCACCACGGUGUAAAUAAACGUCACCAGGCCGACCACCAUCUCCUUCACCGUCAUCUUUCGUAGCUUGCGGUAGCGUCGCCGUAGGUUACGGAAGGUGAACAUGUUGAAGAAUUCGACCACGCUCUUCAAGAAGUCUGCAAACGCCGAGGUCGACUCUGGAGCUUCGGCCUCUCCAUUCCCUUCCUCGCCUUCAGCAGACUCUCCUUCUUCUCCCCCGCCUUCCUCUUCUUCAUCAUCAUCUUCUUCCUCUGCGCCGUCUCCCUCAGGCUCUGAUAUAGACGCGGCGAUGUUCAUCUCAAAGAUGGUGUCCUCACAGAAGUUCACAAACAUCUCCAUUUUCUCACUCUCGCCGCCCUCAUUGACGACAUCAAAGAUGAACUGCCGCUUGGACUCUCUGACUUGAGGCAUCUCCCACUGGUUCCUGUUCGCCUCGCUGAUCUCAAAGUAAAUGCGCUCGAUCUUCCUGCUGGCUCCCAUGAUCUCAAUGCGGCCCAGGUAAGGGCGGAAGUAGUUGAGGACGCUCUCUGCCUGCUCCAGGAAGUUCUGAAGGCGGGUGUCAUGGGGAACGUGCUCUGACAGGUUUGUGAGCAGGACGGCGAUGUUGAAACCGAUGUCUUUGGCCGGCUCCUGGAAACGAUCAGCAAACUCCUCAAAGUUGAUCAUUUCGUUCUCAUCAGCCUCAGAACAAGAGAGGAGGAACUGGAUUUCUGAUGGGGAGUACUGCUUCUGGCUGUCCAUGGCUUUGGAGAAGUCCUUCUUGGAGAUCAGCCCGCGGGGGUCCGUGACAUAGUCUCUGAAGGCGUCUGAUGCCACGAUGUCCUUCAGCUUCAAGAACAUGUCGAAGAACUUGAGGAUCAUUUCCACAUUGCUGGAGGACUCCACCAGCAUGUCAACCAUCUGCCGGGCAAUGGUGCCGUUCACUAUGUUGCCUAAGAGGAGUAAAAAAAGUGACAGGAGGUUUCUUACCUGAGCAAGUUUCAUCAUCAUAUGAGCAAAGACGUGCAGGAAGCCGACAACAGCGUCCCACAGUCUGCUGUGAGCCAGAGACUGCUGGUUUCCAGUGCAGGGACCCUGAUGGACAAAAAUACAGGAUGGAGAAUCAAGAGACUCACCGUUAUUGUGGCCCUCACAAAGAAGUUGGACGAAGCGGAAGAGGUCACACGUAAAUUCAUUGUCUGCCAUCACUUUCUCAUCUACGCAGAAAGACAAGAGAGAAGCUUUUUGCACCCGUGCAAACACAAGUGUCCAGUCCAGAGUAUAUCUGUUAAUCUGCUGUGUUACUCUGUUAGAAAACACAGUGGAGAACACAACUGGGCAACAUGACAUGUAAGGGUUUGGAGAAAAGGUCAUAAUCCCCAUUGG